rnacentral:rRNA from 1 species
UACAGAGGGUGCGAGCGUUAAUCGGAAUUACUGGGCGUAAAGCGUGCGUAGACGGUAGCGUAAGUCAGAUGUGAAAGCCCCGGGCUCAACCUGGGAAUUGCAUUUGAGACUGCUCUGCUCGGGUGCGGAAGAGGGAAGCGGAAUUUCCGGUGUAGCGGUGAAAUGCGUAGAUAUCGGAAGGAACACCAGUGGCGAAAGCGGCUUCCUGGUCCGACACCGACGGUCAGGCACGAAAGCGUGGGGAGCAAACAGG